rnacentral:rRNA from 1 species
UACGAAGGGGGCAAGCGUUGUUCGGAAUUACUGGGCGUAAAGGGUUUGUAGGUGGCCCGCUAAGUCACACGUGAAAUCCCUCAGCUUAACUGGGGAACUGCGUGUGAGACUGGCAGGCUCGAGGGCAGGAGAGGAACGCGGAAUUCCAGGUGUAGCGGUGAAAUGCGUAGAUAUCUGGAGGAACACCGGUGGCGAAGGCGGCGUUCUGGACUGUCUCUGACACUGAAGAACGAAAGCCAGGGGAGCAAACGGG